AUGGUGAGCGAAGCCGCCAACGCCGGCAUCGACCGCGUGCUGUGGACAGAGGCCGAGAUCGCCACGCGGGUCGCCGAGGUCGCCUCGGAGCUCGCCGCCGACAUCCGCCGGCUCGCGGAGCCGGCCGUCGUCGUGGGCGUCGCCACGGGGGCGUUCCUCUUCCUCGCUGACCUGGUGCGGCGCGUCGACGUGCCGCUCGCCGUCGACCUCGUGCGCGUCGAGUCGUAUGGCGACGGCACCGAGUCCAGCGGCCGGCCCCGGGUCACCUCUGACCUCAAGGUCGACGUCGCCGGGAAGCACGUCGUGGUGGUUGAAGAUAUUGUCGACACAGGGAAUACUGUUUCCUGUCUCAUUGCCCAUUUACAAAAGAAAGGAGCACUGUCCAUAUCAGUUUGCACUUUCCUGGACAAACCAGCAAGGAGGACAGUCGAUUUUCAGCUAGUGGGGGGUGGAAAAUUUUACAGAGGCUUCGAGUGCCCCGACAGCUUUGUUGUUGGCUAUGGUAUGGAUUAUGCGGAGCUCUACCGCAACCUGCCUUAUGUUGGAGUUCUCAAGCCUGAGAUGUACAGUAAGAAAACUGACAACUAG
rnacentral:rRNA from 1 species